rnacentral:piRNA from 1 species
UGGCCUGAGAAGGGUUUUGAUAAACAGC